rnacentral:rRNA from 1 species
AUUGAACGCUGACGGCAGGCUUAACACAUGCAAGUCGAGCGGAGAUGAGGUGCUUGCACCUUAUCUUAGCGGCGGACGGGUGAGUAAUGCUUAGGAAUCUGCCUAUUAGUGGGGGACAACAUUCCGAAAGGAAUGCUAAUACCGCAUACGUCCUACGGGAGAAAGCAGGGGAUCUUCGGACCUUGCGCUAAUAGAUGAGCCUAAGUCGAAUUAGCUAGUUGGUGGGGUAAAGGCCUACCAAGGCGACGAUCUGUAGCGGGUCUGAGAGGAUGAUCCGCCACACUGGGACUGAGACACGGCCCAGACUCCUACGGGAGGCAGCAGUGGGGAAUAUUGGACAAUGGGGGGAACCCUGAUCCAGCCAUGCCGCGUGUGUGAAGAAGGCCUUAUGGUUGUAAAGCACUUUAAGCGAGGAGGAGGCUACUGAGACUAAUACUCUUAGAUAGUGGACGUUACUCGCAGAAUAAGCACCGGCUAACUCCGUGCCAGCAGCCGCCGUAAUAC